ensembl:lncRNA LINC00377 long intergenic non-protein coding RNA 377
UAGCCAGAUUAGAUUAAAACACAAUAUAAAUUACUUUUUAUAUAUUUAAAAUACUUCACUAAAUAUUUUAUGCAUUUCUAUGUCCUAUUUUAUUAGAAUUAAUAAUAAUAUAAUGUAUUGUCAAUUUUCUCCCUAAAUUGAAUAUAUUUCUCUACAGUUUUCUCAAGAGGGAUUUGCAGAGACAGGAUGCUAUGAAAUUACCUCUCCCAUGCCCUCCACAGUACUAAGACUGAGGUACCUGUCUACAUCAAAAGAUGAGUACUACAAUGCAGAUGACUUAGCCAGUUGGCUGACUAGGGAUGUUGGAUGCCAGGUCUCCUCAGAAAGAUCAAAGUUACAGGUGAAUGCCCAUGAUUUAAAUGGAAAUCUGAGGGAAUGAAGCAAGGACCUGUUGGAGCACCCAUGGGAAGAACCUGGGGCACAAAAGAGGAAAGCAGCAAGAGACUGACAGAGAUUGUCUCCCUAGAAACCUGGACCACGAAAAGGGUGGAGAGGAGAAAACUCUGUGCUAAAUAUUACUCCUGGAAAAGUGCAUUUGCUUCGGAGAAAUCUUUAUCAUGGGUCUCUAAGAGGAAGGAACAAUAGCAUCUUCUAUGUGCCGAGGUAGCGCAAUAAUGAACUCUGUUCAAGUGGAUCAAAAGCCAUCAAGGUCAAAAUUAGGCACAGGCUGUACAGGAAGCGUGAUUCUGGCAUCUGUUUGGUUUCUGGGAAGGCCUCAGGAAACUUAAAGUCAUGGAAGAAGGGGAAGGGAGAGCAGGCACGUCUUACAUGACCAAAGCAGGAAGAAGAGAGAGAAGUGUGGAGGUGCUAUACACUUUUAAACAGCCAGAUCUUGUGAGAACUCUGUCAGAAGAACAGCACUAGGGAAAUGGUGCUAAACCAUUCUUGGGGACUCCAUCCCUGUGAUACAAUCACCUCCCACCAGGCCCCACCUCCAACACUGAGAAUUACAACUCAACAUGAGAUUUGGAUGGGGACACAGAUCCAAACCAUAUCAAAUUUUCACACCUUUCAGUAAAGCUUUAUAUUUUUUAAGGAUAUUUAAGUACUUGGAAGUAGAAGUAGAGAGUAAGGGGAAUAUUGUACAGCCAUCACAGCCUUUGUCUACUAAAGAAGUCAGUUUCAUGUGACAAAUGUUCAUUUUAAUAUUCGCUUCUUCAGUCCAUCUGGGGGUGUUUCCUUAUUUCUAUAAGAUGCUGCUUUUCAAAAAAAUUACCGAAAGCAUUCUGGAAAUCCAAGAGUAAUUGUGUGAACUAUAAGCAUUAGAAAACACAGACAUAAGUUGAAAAUAUUUAUGAACCUAAAUAGAUGUAAAGCUAGUGACUCAUAUUUUAUAAUGUAUUCACAGAUGAUAUUUCUUAAAUAAAGUAGGCAUUUCUUUAAAAUAAAAA